rnacentral:misc_RNA from 1 species
GGUGAAGAACGUAGCGAAAUGCGAUACGUAAUGUGAAUUGCAGAAUUCAGUGAAUCAUCGAAUCUUUGAACGCACAUUGCGCCCGCUAGUAUUCUGGCGGGCAUGCCUGUCCGAGCGUCAUUUCAACCCAUCAAGCUUAGCGCUUGUGUUGGAGCCCUGCGGCCGCCGCAGCCUCCUAAAAUCAGUGGCGGGCUCGCUAUCACGCUGAGUGCAGUAGUAUUCUUCUCACUCCUGUGGUGUAGCGGGUAACCAGCCGUAAACCCCCCCAUCUAUAAAGGUUGACCUCGGAUCAGGUAGGAAUACCCGCUGAACUUAAGCAUAUCAAUAAGCGGAGGA